GUUCAAGUUUAUUUUUUGUGUCAUUCUUAAACUUGUUUCUUUUAAUGAAUUUUUUAAAUUUUCUUGUUAGAAGUGCCAAGUCAUCGUCACAGUCCUCAUCACUUGAGUUUUCUCUCAAGUGGUCUUCUAAAGUUCUGAGUGCCAUAUCCUUCCUGUUCUUUGGAAGGAUGUCUUCUUGCUCUUCAUGAGCUUUGCAAGUCAUCUCGUAGGUCAUUAAUGACCCGAU
rnacentral:lncRNA from 1 species